rnacentral:lncRNA from 1 species
AUCGCGGAUUACGAAACGCCGCGGAGCUGAGGCAGUUCCGCUGGCUAGUGUGUACGCGGCGAGCUUCUCCCGGCGCCGCCCGCUCGGCUCCCAUAGCGCCCGCGACAGCGGUCCGGACGCCGCCCGAACAUGGACUCCGCCGGCCAAGUCUAAGGUUGUGGGUGACAGAGAGAACGGCAGUGACAACCUCCCUUCCUCAGCGGGGAGUGGUGACAAGCCCCUGUCGGAUCCCGCACCUUUCUAAGCCUGUGGUUGCUUCACCCGCUGCAGAGCACACGCAACCCAGCCUCAGCAUCACAGCCGCAGCUCUGUUCAGCGGAGCAGCCAGCCAGGGCGGAUGAGCAGAGCCGGCCCUGAGGACAGUCCUGCCCAUCCACGCGGAGAUGUGGCUGCCGCGUUUGCAUGAAUUUGAAGAACACAGGCUUGUACACAGAUGUUUUACACUCACGUUUGUAGAUGAAACAGAUCACUGUGCUGUCCUUCCUAGGGGUGCAGGAAGUGGACAGGGCGGAGGGUUUGAAAGAAUAUUGAGCCAAAGCCCAGGCUCCCUUUGGGAAUCAUGUUAGCCCAUCAGAAUGUUGAAGGAUUGAAGAGUUCUAAGCAUAAAAUAAGUGGCAUUUUCUGACUUCUUCCUCCUCCUCCUUCCCUGACUCACAGAAGGAAUGCAAUCACCCAGCAAGUCCUACCUGUUACGCAAUUUUUUAUCUCAAAAUGCCGAACGAGAAAACUGUCCAUUUUCUGAGACCCCCAGAAAGGAAACUGACCCUCAGCAGCUGCCUGAUUGUUACGCGAAUCUAGCUUUAACGGAAGCAAAUUCAUUAUUUUUUAAAUGCAGUGGACUUUUCAAAAAGUUUAAAUUAGGCAAAGCAGCUUUAGCCUCAUAGAAUAUUAUUUCUUUGGACUCAAGCUGAAAUACAAGCCUUACAUUGCCUUAUGCUUUAUUUCUUUCUAAUUUUUAUAUGUAUAUAGAUGAGGGUUCCUUAAUGGUUGUGAGCAUUGUGUGGAAUUUUACACCUGGCCUGCGUGGCAGCCUCUUCCAGUUGAGGUGUUUUAUGUCACGCACACUCCAUCCCAGUGUACAAAACCUGCUUCUCUUCUCAACCGUGGCAGCUCCCGCUGGCUCCUAUGCCCUGCCCUAAAGGGCUCUUGAGCCUCUGGGAAUGGGAGGGGCCAAGAGAAGGAAAACCCUGUCUUUAGCACCCUUUAAAAGAACUGUGCCCCCCUUCUCAGUGCUGCCUUUGCAUGGGCCUGGCCCGGCUCACAUUCGUCAGUGACUCCAACCCUCCUGCUUGCUGUACUUGGGAUGAAACGACCCCACAGGUCAGGUGGAGGGUGGGGCGUGGGCAUCAGCCAGGAUUGCCGUUACAGUCUUUUUCUCAGGAGCUACAAAGAUCUCUUCCUGUUACUAAAUAGUCGCACCCCAGCAGCCUCUCUCGCACACCGGGGCCCUGCAUGUCAGAUGGCGUGGUCUGCAGGGGGAGCUCUGUGCCUUAGUGGCUCUUGGCAGGACACUGAGGGCCUGCCUGUGGUGUGCCCGGCUCUGCCACUCCCGGGAGGGGAAGGGCUGCUCAGCUCAAGGUGUCCUGUUCGGUAGAGCAAGUGUCCUCUGACAGCCGUGUCCCCGGACAGUUCAGACACCCUUGGGGAUGGCACUCCACACACGACAGAGAUGCAGGGGCCAGGGAAGCCCAGCGCUCGGUGCCCUUCGUCCAGGGUUAAAAUCGGCCUGUGGGGUGUGGUGAGAAGGCAGGUUGUGCGGGUGUUGACCGAUGUAUCUUUUCCUUAAAGUUAUUAUAAUAAUGGGUAAUUUGUCAAUAAAGCAUUCCUUUGGGGG